GACGAACGCUGGCGGCGUGCUUAACACAUGCAAGUCGAGCGGAAAGGCCCUUCGGGGUACUCGAGCGGCGAACGGGUGAGUAACACGUGAGCAAUCUGCCCCUAGCUUCGGGAUAGCUCCGGGAAACCGGAAUUAAUACCGGAUAUGACCACAGCCGACAUCAGCUGUGGUGGAAAGUUUUUCGGCUAGGGAUGAGCUCG
rnacentral:rRNA from 1 species